rnacentral:rRNA from 1 species
AACGAACGCUGGCGGCGUGGAUUAGGCAUGCAAGUCGAACGAGAAAGGGUUCGCAAGGACCCGAGUAAAGUGGCGAAAGGGUGAGUAGUACCUAGGUAACCUGCCCUGAAGACGGGGAUAACGUCUCUAACGGGACGCUAAUACCCGAUAUGUCGGCGGCCUCGCAUGGGGUUGCCGGUAAAGAUAGCCUCUGUACACAAGCCUUCACUUCAGGAGGGGCCUCGGGCCUAUCAGCUAGUUGGCGGGGAACGGCCCACCAAGGCUGGGACGGGUAGCCGGUCUGAGAGGAUGGUCGGCCACACUGGGACUGAGACACUGCCCAGACUCCUACGGGAGGCUGCAGUCGAGGAUCUUCUGCAAUGGGCGCAAGCCUGACAGAGCGACGCCGCGUGGGGGAGGAAGGCCUCGGUUGUAACCCUCG